AUGAAUGCUAAUGCAGAAUAUCCCAAUCAAACGGAUUUCGCUGAGGUUGCAAUUUAUGUUCAAGCGCAUACUGAUAACGGAUAUUCUCACCGCCGUGGUCUCCAGCUCACCCGAUUAUCAGAGCGGAAGUGGUUGAAGAACAAGAUCCGGGCAUUAUCUUUCUCACUCUUCAAGAAGAAGCACAUGAUCCUGU